rnacentral:rRNA from 1 species
GAUCCUGGCUCAGGACGAACGCUGGCGGCGUGCUUCAUACAUGCAAGUCGAACGAGAAGCUUACUUCGGUAAGUGGAAAGUGGCGGACGGGUGAGUAAUGUGUAGAGAAUCUGCCCUUGAGCGGGGGACAACAGCUGGAAACGGUUGCUAAUACCCCAUAUGAGGUAAGUUGAAAUACUUAUCUUGAAAACUCCGGUGCUCAAGGAUGAGUCUGCAUCUGAUUAGCUAGUUGGCGGUGUAAUGG